CUGGUGGAUCCUSCCAGUAGUCAUAKGCUUGUUUCAAAGAUUAAGCCAUGCAUGUCUAAGUCCCACCCUCACUAAGGGGAAMCCGCGAAUGGUCCAUUAAAUCCCACCUAAUGUACUGGAUAGUUUCAGUUCCUUGGAUAACUGCGGUAAUUCUGGAGUUAAUCCAUGGCCCCAACCCCCGCCCUACGGAGGGGCGCUUUUAUUAGAUCAAAACCAAACGGCUCGCGCCGUCUUUCUGGUGAUUCUGAAUAACUUUGGGCUGAUCGCAUGGCCUCGCGCCGGCGACGUAUCCUUCCAAGGUGUGCC
rnacentral:rRNA from 1 species